GCGGGUGUAGUGUAGCCUGGUAUCACUCUGCGUUGCCAACGCAGCGACCCGAGUUCAAAUCUCGGCACUCGCA
rnacentral:tRNA from 1 species